rnacentral:rRNA from 1 species
GCUGGCGGUGCGCCUUAUGCAUGCAAGUCGAGCGAAGCUUUUCAGUAGUUUACUACAGAAAAUGACUGAGCGGCGAACGGGUGAGUAACGCGUGAGCAAUCUACCUUAGUUACAGGGAUAGCCCGAGGAAACUCGGAUUAAUACCUGAUAUUCUUUACAUUUCGCAUGAAAUCAAAAGGAAAGGUCAGCCGAACUAAGAUGAGCUCGCGUUCUAUCAGCUAGUUGGUGAGGUAAAAGCUCACCAAGGCAACGACGGAUAGCUGGUCUGAGAGGACGAUCAGCCACACUGGGACUGAGACACGGCCCAGACUCCUACGGGAGGCUGCAGCAGGGAAUAUUGCGCAAUGAGCGAAAGCUUGACGCAGCGACACCGCGUGUGGGAUGACGGAUCUAGGUUUGUAAACCACUUUCAGGAGGGAAGAAAAUGACGGUACCUCCACAAGAAGCCCCGGCCAACUACGUGCCAGCAGCCGCGGUAAUACGUAGGGGGCGAGCGUUGUCCGGAUUUAUUGGGCGUAAAGAGCUCGUAGGCGGUUCAACAAGUCGGUCGUAAAAGUUCAGGGCUCAACCCUGAAAUGUCGAUCGAUACUGUUGUGACUAGGAUACGGUAGAGGUGAGUGGAAUUCCGAGUGUAGCGGUGAAAUGCGUAGAUAUUCGGAGGAACACCAAUUGCGAAGGCAGCUCACUGGGCCGCUAUCGACGCUGAGGAGCGAAAGCUAGGGGAGCAAACAGGAUUAGAUACCCUGGUAGUCCUAGCUGUAAACGAUGGAUACUAGACGUAGGAACUGGAUUGACGGUUUCUGUGUCGUAGCUAACGCGUUAAGUAUCCCGCC